rnacentral:sRNA from 1 species
GCCGGGCAAGGUGGCUCAUGCCUGUAAUCCCAGCACAUUGGGAGGCUGAGGUGGGUGGAUCACCUGAGGUCAGGAGUUCAAGACCAGCCUGGCCAACAUGGUGAAACCCCAUCUCUA